ACCUCGAGAAAGACAUUGUUCGAACUAGAAGAGGUUCCUCUGCUUCAAUGAGUGCUGACAGGCAAAACCACCUUGUUAUUGAGGCAAGUUCUGAUGAUAGGUCGAUUUUAUAUAUGCAGGAUCAGUAUUGUUCUAAUGAUAUUUGGAGUGGAGAGGGCAAUGAUCCUAUAACACCUCAACAACAUACUUUGAUGGAGUUGCAUGAGCUUAUCCACCUGUUUGUUAUCGAUGCAGGUUUUUAUAAGAUCAGUCAGCUACAUGACAUAUAUCUUGACCACGCAUUGAUUGCAAUAUUAGUUGAGCGAUAAAGGUGUGAGACACACACCUUCCAUCUAUGUGUUGGUGAGAUGACACUCACACUCCAGGAUGUUGCCAUGAUGACCAGUCUUCUAAUAGAUGAACCUCCUACGACAGGCCGUUGAGGGUCUAUUGAUAGAGAUAUUUUAUGUGAUCAUUUAUUAGGAUUGGUGCCUCUAACCGAUGCUUAUAGAAGAGACUGCAUCAAGUUGACAUGGUUGAACAUAAAUUUUAAGACCUCCUCAGCAGAUGUGACAAAGAACUAAUUGAUUAUGCAUGCUCGGGCAUACAUAUUACAUA